rnacentral:rRNA from 1 species
UACGUAGGGAGCAAGCGUUGUCCGGAAUCAUUGGGCGUAAAGCGCGCGUAGGUGGCCCUGUAAGUCCGUUGUGAAAGUCAAAGGCUCAACCUUUGAAAGCCGAUGGAUACUGCAGGGCUAGAGUACGGAAGAGGCGAGUGGAAUUCCUGGUGUAGCGGUGGAAUGCGCAGAUAUCAAGGAGGAACACCAGUAGCGAAGGCAGCUCGCUGGGACGUUACUGACACUGAGGCGCGAAAGCGUGGGGAGCGAACAGG